rnacentral:rRNA from 1 species
UACGGGAGGCAGCAGUGGGGAAUAUUGCACAAUGGGCGCAAGCCUGAUGCAGCCAUGCCGCGUGUAUGAAGAAGGCCUUCGGGUUGUAAAGUACUUUCAGUCGUGAGGAAGGUGUUAAGGUUAAUAACCUUAGCAAUUGACGUUAGCGACAGAAGAAGCACCGGCUAACUCCGUGCCAGCAGCCGCGGUAAUACGGAGGGUGCGAGCGUUAAUCGGAAUUACUGGGCGUAAAGGGCACGCAGGCGGUUAAUUAAGUUGGAUGUGAAAUCCCCGGGCUUAACCUGGGAAUGGCAUUCAAGACUGGUUAGCUAGAGUCUUGUAGAGGGGGUAGAAUUCCAUGUGUAGCGGUGAAAUGCGUAGAGAUGUGGAGGAAUACCUGUGGCGAAAGCGGCCUCCUAAACGGAAUACUGACACUGAGUGCGAAAGCGUGGGGAGCAAACAGGGAUUAGAUACC